rnacentral:pre_miRNA from 1 species
CCCACACCCAUGUGUGUAGGACCCCAAAGGAUCACCAUUAAAUUUGGUACAGAUAUCUAAAAACGUCAUCACAUUGGUGUGGGACUUGACUUUUCUAGAGAUCUACGCCAAAUUUAAUGGUAAUCCUUUGAGGUCCUACACACAUGAGUGCGGG